rnacentral:tRNA from 1 species
GCGGGCUUGGCCGAAUGGCUCAGGCACCAGCCUUCCAAGCUGGUUAUGCGGGUUCGAUCCCCGCAGCCCGCUCCA